UACGUAGGGGGCAAGCGUUGUCCGGAUUUAUUGGGCGUAAAGAGCGUGUAGGCGGUUUGGUAGGUCCGCUGUGAAAACUCGAGGCUCAACCUCGAGACGCCGGUGGAAACCAUCAGACUAGAGUCCGGAAGAGGAGAGUGGAAUUCCUGGUGUAGCGGUGAAAUGCGCGGAUAUCAGGAGGAACACCGGUGGCGAAGGCGGGUCUCUGGGCCGUAACUGACGCUGAGGAGCGAAAGCGUGGGGAGCGAACAGG
rnacentral:rRNA from 1 species